UCGGUCCCUAUCUGCCGUGGACGUUUGAGAUUUGAGAGGGGCUGCUCCUAGUACGAGAGGACCGGAGUGGACGAACCUCUGGUGUUCCGGUUGUCACGCCAGUGGCAUUGCCGGGUAGCUAUGUUCGGAAGAGAUAACCGCUGAAAGCAUCUAAGCGGGAAACUUGCCUCAAGAUGAGAUCUCACUGGGAUCUAGAAUCCCCUGAAGGGCCGUCGAAGACUACGACGUUGAUAGGUUGGGUGUGUAAGCGCUGUGAGGCGUUGAGCUAACCAAUACUAAUUGCCCGUGAGGCUUGACCAU
rnacentral:rRNA from 1 species